CCCAGCCCUGUACCGGUAAGUCCCCAUUUCUACUUUCACCCCUGUCUGUAUCCCAUACCUUAAGGUCAUAUCUGAGUGUUUGCAUUGUAAUUCUCUGUAACUGUAAAUCACCAGAUAGGAAAGCAUUAAUGAGUGUGAAAUUCUAGUUUCCAACAGGAGGUGUUAUCUCCAGCCCACCAAUACCAGAUGAACUACUGUGGAACAUCAAAGGACAAAACACUUUGUUCAUUGCUCUCCCCACCCCAUGAAGAGGAGCUUAGAGAGGAAAAGAAGGGAAUAAAAAUCCCUGACAAGGAGAAACUGUAUCUCUGUGCUGCUUGGACUCCGGGAAGAAAAGGUUUUCUAGGCAUCAGUAGGAGAUCCCCAGCAUUUAGCCUGGGACAUAUAAAGCUUGCUUAUUAUAGACGCGUCUAUUACAUUUUGAAACUUAAGACUGUAACUCAUUUGUGUGUGUAUGUUUAACUGCUUUAACCUUUUUAAUAACUCUGAUUUCCUCUUCCUCAUUAAUAAAAUCUUUAGAUAGUUCAUUAUAGGCUUGGCUACAAGCGUUAUCUUUGGUGUGAGAUCUAAGGGGCAUCUGACCUGAGCAGAAAGUAGAGAUACUGGGACUCAGAAUGAAUGGAAGGAGCAGCGAACAAGACUGGAAGCGGCUCCAAGUGGCAUAGCCUCCAGAGACCCAAGGGAAUGGGGCACAAGUCAGGCUGUCCCCACACUAUAUCUGCACAAGCCUUGCCAGAGACAGGCUGCAAGAACCCAUGGGCUGGGAAGACAGCCUCAAGAGGAGAUGGGCAGAGAGGGAAGUGACCUCAGGAAUGUCUCACUCUGAUGCCGCUAUUAGGAAUCGUGGGAUUGUUACUAUUUCCAUCAGGGGACACCAUGGGGAUUGUGGGUAAAGAAAACAGAGCUUCUGAGAACUGGCAGGGCUGGACUGUGGGCAGGACAUGUGAUCCAAGGCCCUUCCUCCCACCUCCUUUUCAAAUUAGCCCUGCAGAAGUCUUUGCCCAUGGAGGUUCCCACAGGAUGGACACUCCCAAUCUCUUUCCCACCCCAAUUCAGUUGUGGGGCCGGGGAAGGUCAGAAUUCUUUUUGGCCAAAAUCUGCCUUUGAAAUGACAGUGAAUGUCAUGUGGGCAAUGGAAAAGGAUAAACUGCUACGAGCAGAAUGUCAGCAUUAGGCAUUAAGGGAUUCUAAAGGGGGAGUGAGAGAGAGUACCUAGCUUCCAACAUGGCUUCCGCCCUCCUCUCCCCAGUCUGUCUCUUCUCUCCUCUGCUGAGCAGACACUACACAUCCACUCUGCUGUGCUCACAAGUGCUCUAGGCCGCUCCACCAUGUGGAAGUGUCCCUCUCCACACUAGUGAGACCCUGGAACUAACCAACAGGUCCUACUCUGUCCCUUCCAAGGCAACCAAUGAAUUAAACAGCACCUUGGCACCACUUUGACUCGCAUUUUGUACGUGUAGAUUAAAUGGCAGUUUGCCCACAAUCAUCCACAUCUUCAAUAGGCUAGCUCAGUCAGAGUGUUUCUCAAAUGUGGCCACCGUGGCUGUAUGCGGCCACCAGGGCCUUUUCUUGUGACCACAGCCUACUGGUCCGGGAGGUGGGGGUACAAAGCAGUGGCCCCUCUCCCAGAGCUACUAACAGCGGUUGGGCCCUGCCCCCCUCUGGAGACAGAAAUGCUGGAGGUGCAGGCAGCUGGCGCAACCACAAUAGCAAAAGAAACAACAAAAAAGACAAGAACCAUGCAAAGCACCUUAUUUGUGUGUCUAUUCCGUUUAUGUUCGGUAAAGAAUAGAGACAACUGUAAAUUACUUUUAUUAUUGAGUCUAAAAAACACUACAGAAAUAAAUUAUAGUGAUUUGGA